rnacentral:rRNA from 1 species
AUUGAACGCUGGCGGCAGGCCUAACACAUGCAAGUCGAGCGGAUGACGGGAGCUUGCUCCUUGAUUCAGCGGCGGACGGGUGAGUAAUGCCUAGGAAUCUGCCUGGUAGUGGGGGACAACGUUUCGAAAGGAACGCUAAUACCGCAUACGUCCUACGAGAGAAAGCAGGGGACCUUCGGGCCUUGCGCUAUCAGAUGAGCCUAGGUCGGAUUAGCUAGUUGGUGGGGUAAUGGCUCACCAAGGCGACGAUCCGUAACUGGUCUGAGAGGAUGAUCAGUCACACUGGAACUGAGACACGGUCCAGACUCCUACGGGAGGCAGCAGUGGGGAAUAUUGGACAAUGGGCGAAAGCCUGAUCCAGCCAUGCCGCGUGUGUGAAGAUGGUCUUCGGAUUGUAAAGCACUUUAAGUUGGGAGGAAGGGCAGUAAGUUAAUACCUUGCUGUCUUGACGUUACCGACAGAAUAAGCACCGGCUAACUCUGUGCCAGCAGCCGCCGUAA